AGAGUUUGAUCAUGGCUCAGAUUGAACGCUGGCGGCAGGCCUAACACAUGCAAGUCGAACGGUAACAGGGAGCAGCUUGCUGCUUCGCUGACGAGUGGCGGACGGGUGAGUAAAGUCUGGGAAACUGCCUGAUGGAGGGGGAUAACUACUGGAAACGGUGGCUAAUACCGCAUAAUGUCGCAAGACCAAAGUGGGGGACCUGCGGGCCUCAUGCCAUUGGAUGUGCCCAGAUGGGAUUAGCUGGUUGGUGGGGUAAAGGCUCACCAAGGCGACGAUCCCUAGCUGGUCUGAGAGGAUGACCAGCCACACUGGAACUGAGACACGGUCCAGACUCCUACGGGAGGCAGCAGUGGGGAAUAUUGCACAAUGGGCGCAAGCCUGAUGCAGCCAUGCCGCGUGUAUGAAGAAGGCCUUCGGGUUGUAAAGUACUUUCAGCGGGGAGGAAGGGGGUAGGGUUAAUAACCUUAUUCAUUGACGUUACCCGCAGAAGAAGCACCGGCUAACUCCGUGCCAGCAGCCGCGGUA
rnacentral:rRNA from 1 species